UACGAGGGGUGCAAGCGUUGCUCGGAAUUAUUGGGCGUAAAGGGUAGGUAGGUGGUCUCAUUUGUCUGGGGUGAAAGCCUUGGGCUUAACUCAAGAAGUGCCCCAGAAACGGUGAGACUGGAGUCCUGGAGAGGGUCGUGGAAUUCCCGGUGUAGCGGUGAAAUGCGUAGAGAUCGGGAGGAACACCAGAGGCGAAAGCGGCGACCUGGACAGGCACUGACACUCAACUACGAAAGCGUGGGGAGCAAACAGG
rnacentral:rRNA from 1 species